rnacentral:rRNA from 1 species
UCCUACGGGAGGCAGCAGUGAGGAAUAUUGGUCAAUGGGCGGGAGCCUGAACCAGCCAAGCCGCGUGAGGGAAGAAGGUACAGCGUAUCGUAAACCUCUUUUGCCGGGGAGCAAGGGCGGGGACGUGUCCCGGCCCGGAGAGUACCCGGAGAAAAAGCAUCGGCUAACUCCGUGCCAGCAGCCGCGGUAAUACGGAGGAUGCGAGCGUUAUCCGGAUUUAUUGAGUUUAAAGGGUGCGUAGGCGGGCUUUUAAGUCAGCGGUAAAAAUUCGGGGCUCAACCCCGUCCGGCCGUUGAAACUGGGGG